ACUAAAGGAAAAUAGCUCCAAAGUGGAGUCUGAGUAAGAAGACUUGUUUCAUUUCUCACCACGGCGCUCUUUUGUUUCACAGAUUCCCUGAACAAUGAGGCACAGUGGCACAGUUUGGAAGCAAAGGAUGGUAGUGUUUGUGGGAUCAGUAGUAUCAGCAGUCCUGAAGGUCACGCUGAUAAGACCUCGGAUUUCCACCUCAGAAUUGCAUUGUGCUCCGACCUUCGGACCCCCUGAAGUCGAUCAAACCGGCAAAACGGCUGCUCCACCGCAGGACGGCUGAGUUCAGAGAGAUGGGGUAUAACUGAGGAUCAGUGCUCAGCCCGGGACCUGCCAUGCUAGUGCAACGGCUCUAUAGCUGCGUGAGGCGGUUGGUCAGUCCACCAUGUUGGUCCAGAAUGGAACAUUUCAACAAAAAGCUUUCAAAUCAAACUCCGUCCAACUUUUACCAGACUGAGUCCAGCACUCUGAGAGCAGCUCUGACGCCCACAUCGAGAGGUCGAAAUCCAACAGGAGGAGAGAGUACAGGCGGAGCAUCAUGUUCACUUAAAACUACAUCAAUUCUUUCUGAUUUCUGUUAAAGGUCAUGUUUAAUCUGCAUCACCAGGCCGUGAUUGUGACUUCAGAUUAAAUGAAAACUCACUCUAAGUGUAGAUAAUUGAAAAAAAGACAACAUAGAUGUAUUAAAAGAGUGCACCAGGUUGUUUUUGGUGAAUAUUAAAAGGUUGUUGAAGUAGGCUGACUCUAAAA